rnacentral:rRNA from 1 species
AUUGAACGCUGGCGGCAGGCUUAACACAUGCAAGUCGAGCGGAGAUGAGGUGCUUGCACCUUAUCUUAGCGGCGGACGGGUGAGUAAUGCUUAGGAAUCUGCCUAUUAGUGGGGGACAACAUUCCGAAAGGAAUGCUAAUACCGCAUACGUCCUACGGGAGAAAGCAGGGGAUCUUCGGACCUUGCGCUAAUAGAUGAGCCUAAGUCGGAUUAGCUAGUUGGUGGGGUAAAGACCUACCAAGGCGACGAUCUGUAGCGGGUCUGAGAGGAUGAUCCGCCACACUGGGACUGAGACACAGCCCAGACUCCUACGGGAGGCAGCAGUGGGGAAUAUUGGACAAUGGGGGGAACCCUGAUCCAGCCAUGCCGCGUGUGUGAAGAAGGCCUUAUGGUUGUAAAGCACUUUAAGCGAGGAGGAGGCUACUGAGACUAAUACUCUUGGAUAGUGGACGUUACUCGCAGAAUAAGCACCGGCUAACUCUGUGCCAGCAGCCGCGGUAA